CGAAUGGAGCGAGCGUUGUUCGGAAUCACUGGGCGUAAAGCGUGCGCAGGCGGUUGUGAAAGUCAGGAGUGAAAUCCCAGGGCUUAACCCUGGAAUUGCUUUUGAAACUUCACGACUAGAGUACUGGAGGGGUUGGCGGAAUUUCGAGUGUAGCAGUGAAAUGCGUAGAUAUUCGAAGGAACACCGAUGGCGUAGGCAGCCAACUGGACAGUAACUGACGCUCAUGCACGAAAGCGUGGGGAUCAAACAGGAUUAGAUACCCUGGUAGUCCACGCCGUAAACGAUGUGUGCUAGUUGUCGGGAUCUUAGGUCUCGGUGACGCAGCUAACGCUUUAAGCACACCGCCUGGGGAGUACGGUCGCAAGAUUA
rnacentral:rRNA from 1 species